GGGAUAGGGUAGGACAAUCAAUUGCGCUAACUUCUGUUUAUAAUGCGGUAUUAAUUACUAGGGGAGGCUAGGGAUAGCAAGCCAGUAGUUAAUAUUAGUCUCUUUUUGUCGAGGGAUCGGGUUAAGGGUAGGCUAAGAAAGUCGCAUAACAAUUAAUUAAUCAAACUAAUAUUCAAGAGGAGUAGAUAAGAGAUGGCAGAUUAGAUGAAUUUGUAAACCCCCAACAACAUCCAUUCAUCCAUUGUUUUCUUUUGUCAAUUGAAUCAACUUUAUUUUGCAUGUUAAUAUUUUUGCUCUCAAAUCCAAUUUAUUAAUUUUUAUUUUCAAGUCUUAUUAUUUUAAUUCACGUGAACGAGAAAGCCUUUCGAGUCUCUUGGGAAAACGAUACUUGGUCUUACCAUUUAUAUUACUUG
rnacentral:lncRNA from 1 species